CUUCUUGAAUUGAUAUGAAGUCGUGCCUGCCCACUGAUUUAUUAAAUGGCCGCGGUAUAUUGACCGUGCAAAGGUAGCAUAAUCAUUAGUCUUUUAAUUGGAGGCUGGAAUGAAUGGUUUGACGAAACAAUAACUGUCUCAGGAUAAUUAAUUGAAUUUUAUUUUUAAGUUAAAAAGCUUAAAUAAUGACAGGGGACGAGAAGACCCUAUAGAUCUUAAUAUUAUUAUAUUAAAAUAUAUGUUUGGGAGUAGUUUUGUAUAUUUUAUUAUGUAAUGUUUUGUUGGGGUGACAAGGGAAUAAUUUAACUUCUUUAUAAUUUACUGUGAUGGUUGGUUAAUUGAUCCUAUUAUUAUGGAAUGAAGAUAAAGAUACCUUAGGGAUAACAGCGUAAUAUUGUUGGAGAGUUCAUAUUGAUAAUAAUGAUUGCGACCUCGAUGUUGGAUUAAGAAAAUUAUUAGGUGCAGGAGCUUAAUAUAUUGGUCUGUUCGACCAUUAAAUUCUUACGUGAU
rnacentral:rRNA from 1 species